rnacentral:rRNA from 1 species
CGAAGGGGCGAGCGUUGUUCGGAUUUACUGGGCGUAAAGGGCGCGUAGGCGGCCAUCUUUGUCAGGCGUGAAAGCCCCGGGCUCAACCUGGGAACUGCGUCUGGGACGGGGUGGCUAGAGAUCGGGAGAGGAGCGUGGAAUUCCCAGUGUAGAGGUGAAAUUCGUAGAUAUUGGGAAGAACACCGGUGGCGAAGGCGGCGCUCUGGACCGAGACUGACGCUGAGGCGCGAAAGCGUGGGGAGCAAACAGGAUUAGAUACCCUGGUAGUCCACGCUGUAAACGAUGUGUGCUAGACGUUGGGGAGCCUAGCUCUUCGGUGUCGCAGCUAACGCUUUAAGCACACCGCCUGGGGAGUACGGCCGCAAGGUUA